AACGAACGCUGGCGGCAUGCUCACACAUGCCAGUCGAACGCGACCUUCGGGUCUAGUGGCGCACGGGUGCGUAACGCGUGGGAACCUGCCCUUAGGUUCGGAAUAACUCCCCGAAAGGGGUGCUAAUACCGGAUAAUGUCUUCGGACCAAAGAUUUAUCGCCUUUGGAUGGGCCCGCGUUGGAUUAGCUAGUUGGUAGGGUAAAAGCCUACCAAGGCGACGAUCCAUAGCUGGUCUGAGAGGAUGAUCAGCCACACUGGGACUGAGACACGGCCCAGACUCCUACGGGAGGCAGCAGUGGGGAAUAUUGGACAAUGGGCGAAAGCCUGAUCCAGCAAUGCCGCGUGAGUGAUGAAGGCCUUAGGGUUGUAAAGCUCUUUUACCCGGGAUGAUAAUGACAGUACCGGGAGAAUAAGCGCCGGCUAACUCCGUG
rnacentral:rRNA from 1 species